GGAGGAAUAUUGUGCAAUGGGGGGAACCCUGACACAGCGACGCCGCGUGAGUGAAGAAGGCCUUCGGGUCGUAAAGCUCUUUUCCAGGGGAUGAGGAAGGACAGUACCCUGGGAAUAAGUCUCGGCUAACUACGUGCCAGCAGCCGCGGUAAAACGUAGGAGGCGAGCGUUAUCCGGAAUCACUGGGCGUAAAGGGCAAGUAGGCGGCUCCUUAAGUCAGACGUGACAGUGCUCGGCUCAACUGGGCAAGGUCGUCUGGAACUGGGGGGCUAGAGGGCAGGAGAGGGAAGCGGAAUUCCUAGUGUAGCGGUGGAAUGCUCAGAUAUUAGGAAGAACACCAGUGGCGAAGGCGGCUUUCUGGCCUGCACCUGACGCUGAAGAGCGAAAGCUAGGGGAGCGAACGGG
rnacentral:rRNA from 1 species